CGGGACACGUGGUAUCCUGUCUGAAUAUGGGGGGACCAUCCUCCAAGGCUAAAUACUCCUGACUGACCGAUAGUGAACCAGUACCGUGAGGGAAAGGCGAAAAGAACCCCGGCGAGGGGAGUGAAAAAGAACCUGAAACCGUGUACGUACAAGCAGUGGGAGCACGCUUCGGCGUGUGACUGCGUACCUUUUGUAUAAUGGGUCAGCGACUUAUAUUCUGUAGCAAGGUUAACCGAAUAGGGGAGCCGAAGGGAAACCGAGUCUUAACUGGGCGUUAAGUUGCAGGGUAUAGACCCGAAACCCGGUGAUCUAGCCAUGGGCAGGUUGAAGGUUGGGUAACACUAACUGGAGGACCGAACCGACUAAUGUUGAAAAAUUAGCGGAUGACUUGUGGCUGGGGGUGAAAGGCCAAUCAAACCGGGAGAUAGCUGGUUCUCCCCGAAAGCUAUUUAGGUAGCGCCUCGUGAAUUCAUCUCCGGGGGUAGAGCACUGUUUCGGCAAGGGGGUCAUCCCGACUUACCAACCCGAUGCAAACUGCGAAUACCGGAGAAUGUUAUCACGGGAGACACACGGCGGGUGCUAACGUCCGUCGUGAAGAGGGAAACAACCCAGACCGCCAGCUAAGGUCCCAAAGUCAUGGUUAAGUGGGAAACGAUGUGGGAAGGCCCAGACAGCCAGGAUGUUGGCUUAGAAGCAGCCAUCAUUUAAAGAAAGCGUAAUAGCUCACUGGUCGAGUCGGCCUGCGCGGAAGAUGUAACGGGGCUAAACCAUGCACCGAAGCUGCGGCAGCGACACUAUGUGUUGUUGGGUAGGGGAGCGUUCUGUAAGCCUGUGAAGGUGUACUGUGAGGUAUGCUGGAGGUAUCAGAAGUGCGAAUGCUGACAUAAGUAACGAUAAAGCGGGUGAAAAGCCCGCUCGCCGGAAGACCAAGGGUUCCUGUCCAACGUUAA
rnacentral:rRNA from 1 species